rfam:Biomphalaria glabrata isolate BB02 unplaced genomic scaffold LGTN_random_Scaffold5538, whole genome shotgun sequence.
UGGCUGAGUGGUAAAGCGCUUGGCUUCCGAACAUGGGGUCCUGUGUUCAAAUCUCGG